rnacentral:rRNA from 1 species
AUACGAAGGGUGCAAGCGUUACUCGGAAUUACUGGGCGUAAAGCGUGCGUAGGUGGUUGUUUAAGUCUGUCGUGAAAGCCCUGGGCUCAACCUGGGAAUGGCGAUGGAAACUGGGCGACUAGAGUGUGGCAGAGGGUAGUGGAAUUCCUGGUGUAGCAGUGAAAUGCGUAGACAUCAGGAGGAACAUCCGUGGCGAAGGCGACUGCCUGGGCCAACGCUGACACUGAAGCACGAAAGCGUGGGGAGCAAAAAGGAUUAGAUACCCUGGUAGUCCACGCCCUAAACGAUGCGAACUGGAUGUUGGGUGCAAUUUGGCACGCAGUAUCGAAGCUAACGCGUUAAGUUCGCCGCCUGGGGAGUACGGCCGCAAGACUGAAACUCAAAUGAAUUGACGGGG